rnacentral:rRNA from 1 species
GACGAACGCUUUCUUCUUUCCUAAUACAUGCAAGUAGAACGCACAGUUUAUACCGUAGCUUGCUACACCAUAGACUGUGAGUUGCGAACGGGUGAGUAACGCGUAGGUAACCUGCCUGGUAGCGGGGGAUAACUAUUGGAAACGAUAGCUAAUACCGCAUAAUAUUAAUUAUUGCAUGAUAAUUAAUUGAAAGGUGCAAUUGCACCACUACCAGAUGGACCUGCGUUGUAUUAGCUAGUAGGUGAGGUAACGUCUCACCUAGGCGACGAUACAUAGCCGACCUGAGAGGGUGAUCGGCCACACUGGGACUGAGACACGGCCCAGACUCCUACGGGAGGCAGCAGUAGGGAAUCUUCGGCAAUGGACGAAAGUCUGACCGAGCAACGCCGCGUGAGUGAAGAAGGUUUUCGGAUCGUAAAGCUCUGUUGUAAGAGAAGAACGGGUGUGAGAGUGGAAAGUUCACACUGUGACGGUAUCUUACCAGAAAGGGACGGCUAACUACGGG